rnacentral:rRNA from 1 species
AACGAACGCUGGCGGCAUGCCUAACACAUGCAAGUCGAACGAUGCCUUCGGGCAUAGUGGCGCACGGGUGCGUAACGCGUGGGAAUCUGCCCUUGGCCUCGGAAUAACAGUUAGAAAUGACUGCUAAUACCGGAUGAUUUCCCCCUGAGAGACCUUGGGGACCAAAGGUUUAUCGGCCAGGGAUGAGCCCUCGUAGGAUUAGGUGGUUGGUUGGGUAAAUGCCUACCAAGCCGACGAUCCUUAGCUGGUCUGAGAGGAUGGUCAGCCACACUGGGAGUGAGACGCGGCCCAGACUCCUACGGGAGGCAGCAGUGGGGAAUAUUGGACAAUGGGGGGAACCAUGAUCCAGCAAUGCCGCGUGAGUGAUGAAGGCCUUAGGGUUGUAAAGCUCUUUUACCAGGGAUGAUAAUGACGGUACCUGGAGAAUAAGCUCCGGCUAACUCCGUG